rnacentral:SRP_RNA from 1 species
ACUGGGCGCAGUGGCACUUGCCUGUAGUCCCAGCUACUCGGGAGGCUGAGGUGGGAGGAUAGCUUGAGUCCAGGAGUUCUGGGCUGUAGUGAGCUAUGCCGAUUGGGUGUCCGCACUAAGUUUGGCAUCAAUAUGGUGACCUCCCGGGAGCGGGGAACCACCAGGUUGCCUGAGGGGUGAACCGGCCCAGGCCGGAAACAGAGCAGGUCAAAACUCCUAUGCUGAUCAGUAGUGGGAUCGCGCCUGUGAAUAGCCACUGCACUCCAGCCUGGGUAACAUAGCGAGACCCUGUCUCU